UGCUACUGCUAGCCGCUAACGCUGCCUGCUACCGCUAAGCCUUGACCCCCCCCCCCCCCAUUAACACACAGCUAACCGUAGCGGCGCACAGGGGGGGGGGGGCUCACAGCAGGGGGGCUGCCAGACUGGGACCCCCGACGGGGGCACUGGGUGUGGUGGUCUGUCGGACUGGGACCCCCUACGGGGGCACUGGGUGUGGUGGUCUGUCGGACUGGGACCCCCUACGGGGGCACUGGGUGUGGUGGUCUGUCGGACUGGGACCUCCUACGGGGGCACUGGGUGUGGUGGUCUGUCGGACUGGGACCCCCUACGGGGGCACUGGGUGUGGUGGUCUGUCGGACUGGGGGGCACUGGGUGUGGUGGUCUGUCGGACUGGGAACAUCAUUUCUGUUUCUUCUCUGUUGGUGAUACUGGGGAGAGAGGGGAGGGGAGGGGGGAGGGAGAGAUGGUGAGGAAAAAGGAGGGGAGAGGGAAAGUACAGCAGGAGAGAGACGGAGGAAGCGAGAGAUGGAGAGAAAGGAGAGAGAAAUGAAGAUGCAGAGAGAGGGAGAGGGGAAGAGGAUUCCCAUAGCAACAGACGACCUGUAUUCAGGUGUAGAGUAGUAUGGCCCAGCAUCGUGGAGAGGGAGAGAGGGAGGGAGGGAGAGAGCGCGAGAGAGAGCGCGCGCAUUCAGGUGUGGCCCAGCCUCGUGUUAAUCAGAGAGAGAGAUUGUUAAAGACACCAGCAGUAUGCUGCCGUCAUCCCCUGGAUCGCUAUUGGUCCUGUUAUAAAUAAGACUCCAUUGACGCACUCGCGGACCGUAAACCAUCGACUUGUUUUACCAUGAUUCAUUUUUUUUAUUCAAGCGCUCGUUGUGACCGCCGGGACAUCAACCCCCCCCCCCCCGCUCUGAUGUCAUCGCCUCGGCCCCGCGUCCAAUCACGUCCCGCCGGGUGAUCCCUCACGCCCACGCCCCGCCCCCGCCCCAGCCACCAUUGGCCUUCGAUUCGCCAAACCGAUAAAAACAAGGCCUCAUGUCUUUGAAGUGAUGAAUAGGAAGUGACCCGCAGAGGCUUCCUGUAGGCGGCGGCCCUCGGUACGAGAGGAGCCGUCACAUCUGAAAGGUCAAAGGUGUGGACUGAUGCAUCCUGGGUAGAGUCAAGCGGAGCCGGUUCCUCGGGGAACGACUCGCUGGCCGACCGCUGGGUUCUCUAGGGAACAUCGCUGGGUUCUCUAGUGAACAUCGUUGGGUUCUCUGGUGAACGUCGCUGGGUUCUCUAGGGAACAUCGUUGGGUUCUCUGGUGAACGUCGCUGGGUUCUCUAGUGAACAUCGUUGGGUUCUCUAGUGAACGUCGCUGGGUUCUCUAGUGAACAUCGUUGGGUUCUCUGGUGAACAUCGUUGGGUUCUCUGGUGAACAUCGUUGGGUUCUCUAGUGAACGUCGCUGGGUUCUCUAGUGAACAUCGUUGGGUUCUCUGGUGAACAUCGCUGGGUUGAUCCACUGUUCCGUUCCUCUGUUCAUUAGAUAUCAACAUGACCCUCUCCUUAACUGAUAGUGUUCUGGAGGGCUGGCUCCGUACUGCGGGCUCUGUUGGUCCAGAACUGAUAACCUCCUCCUGCUUGAGACCUGGACUCUGGUCCCCUCAGUCUCCACGUCUCUGCUCUCUGGCCCUUGACCCAGAUCAUAAGCCUAAUUUGUUCGCUCUGGCUGCGUGCUGGUUCUGAGAGAGCAGUGACCAAACCCUCCUCAAUGAACCCAGAGGUUGGGUUUUAGUUCUGUUCCUGAGAGAGCAGUGACCAAACCCUCCUCACUGAACCCAGAGGUUGGGUUCUGCAGUGACUUCACCCUACAGCUCCUGGCUAGUCCGUCUGCAGUCGAGCUGCUGUCUCUCCUUUAAAAGGCACCGUGAGAGAGAUGCACCGUGAGAGAGAUGCUGUUUAUUGGUGCUGAUGGAGAGUGGUUGUCAUGGUGAUUGUUGGGUCUCGGCCGAUGAACAGAUGCUGGCAUGCUUAUUUUUUUCUCGUUCGUUCUUUCAGGGCGAAAUCGCGAAGGCAAAAUAAGUAAUAUUGAUCAGCCUUUCAGCAUAUUAAUCUCAUGUUUGUUCCUGUCCACGGGAAUCACAAAUCAAAACUCAGGACUCCGAACUGAACUUUGGAUUCUGAAAGCAAGUGGCAAACUCUCCUUUUAGCUUCAUGGCAUGAAGCUUGUGACGUAGAGGCAUGGCUCACCAUGAACCUGCUGCUGGAGACGUAAGCUUCUACGGCCAUGUCACGACGUAACACUGUCAUGUCUCGCCACAACAUCGCAAUAUCAUGAUGUCAUGUCACCACGACGUCGAGGUUUCAUGAUGUCGUGGUGACCUCGAUGUCUCACCCACUAACCUCCCCCCCCAUUCCCCGCUGGCUCCACUUAUAGAGCAACCACACCCUCCCAUUCCCCCACCCCUAUUCAGCCUCCCUCAGUAGACAGUCGUAGGGGCCUCCGAGGCCAUAGGCGCUGCCAUCCCAUAAUACACAGCGUGCCGUGCUCUCCGUCUGGCUGGUUCCCCCCGCCACUGGGCAGAACGGUUCUCUCUAGGGACAACAAGCCUCUCUGUCUCUCUGUCUCUCUGUCUCUCUGUCUGUCUCUCUCUCUCUCUCUCUCUCUCUCUCUCUCUCUCUCUCUCUCUCUCUCUCUCUCUCUCUCUCUCUCUCUCUCUCUCUCUCUCUCUCUCUCUCUCUCUUCCCCCCCCCCCCCCCCCCCCCCUAGUAGGGUAGGGCUGUUGGGGUAACUAUGAGAGGUUGAACCAUCAACAGGGGUUUUUCUUUAAGCCUUUUCAUCCACAUGGGGAUCAAAGUUCACCGUGUUUUCUAAUAUGGGGGUUACAGGUCAUGUUUUCUUUUUGGGGUUAAAGGUCACCUUGUUUCCUAGCGGUUGGGUCCUUCCAUCAGGGUGCAUUCUGGGGGCUAAGUCAGACGGUAAACUGGGUUUAGCUUCCUUUCCCUGGUUCUUCCAUCGCUGGCUUUGGGCUGUAGGGAGUACGGCUCCAUUCCCACUACGGAGAUUAAAUAUGUAUCGUAUAUUUAUGUAUCCAUAUAUAUAAAUAUAUCUAUAUGCGUGUUUGUUCUUUUAACACCUCUAAGUGGGUUUUAUUUCAGUUUUCAAACCGUCUCUCUUUCGCUCGGGGUCUCUAAGCCCCGCCUCCCACAUUGGUGGGGGGGGCGGGGAAACCCAAGGCCUCCGACUGACGCCCGUCUGGUCCAAUCCCC